rnacentral:rRNA from 1 species
GGCGGCGUGCUAUACAUGCAGUCGAGCGAAUGGAUUAGAGCUUGCUCUUAUGAAGUUAGCGGCGGACGGGUGAGUAACACGUGGGUAACCUGCCCAUAAGACUGGGAUAACUCCGGGAAACCGGGGCUAAUACCGGAUAACAUUUUGAACCGCAUGGUUCGAAAUUGAAAGGCGGCUUCGGCUGUCACUUAUGGAUGGACCCGCGUCGCAUUAGCUAGUUGGUGAGGUAACGGCUCACCAAGGCAACGAUGCGUAGCCGACCUGAGAGGGUGAUCGGCCACACUGGGACUGAGACACGGCCCAGACUCCUACGGGAGGCAGCAGUAGGGAAUCUUCCGCAAUGGACGAAAGUCUGACGGAGCAACGCCGCGUGAGUGAUGAAGGCUUUCGGGUCGUAAAACUCUGUUGUUAGGGAAGAACAAGUGCUAGUUGAAUAAGCUGGCACCUUGACGGUACCUAACCAGAAAGCCACGGCUAACUACGUGCCAGCAGCCGCGGUAAUACGUAGGUGGCAAGCGUUAUCCGGAAUUAUUGGGCGUAAAGCGCGCGCAGGUGGUUUCUUAAGUCUGAUGUGAAAGCCCACGGUCAACCGUGGAGGGUCAUUGGAAACUGGGAGACUUGAGUGCAGAAGAGGAAAG